UACGAAGGGGGCUAGCGUUACUCGGAUUGACUGGGCGUAAAGGGCGCGUAGGCGGUUUGUACAGUCAGACGUGAAAUUCCUGGGCUCAACCUGGGGGCUGCGUUUGAUACGUGCAGACUUGAGUUCGGAAGAGGGUCGUGGAAUUCCCAGUGUAGAGGUGAAAUUCGUAGAUAUUCGCAAGAACACCAGUGGCGAAGGCGGCUCACUGGCCCGAUACUGACGCUGAGGCACGAAAGCGUGGGGAGCAAACAGG
rnacentral:rRNA from 1 species